rnacentral:lncRNA from 1 species
AUUCUUUGUUUGUUGAAGAAAAGGCAGUCUUUCCAUUCAGGAAAUGGGCAGGGGCCAGAGGACAAGAAGAAACAAAUAAACAGGGCUUGCUUGGCUUUCAAAUUCCAGCUGAUGUACAUGGCUGAAUAAUUACCUAGAAAAUGAAGCUCAGCGUGGGCCUCUGGCUUUGAGAC